CCCUUCACCGCCCCUCCGCCUGGCAGAGAAGUGCUUGCUGGCAGUGGGAGACUCAAAGCAGCAGGAGUUCAAAGCAGAAUGGUGAACCUACAAACUACACUUUUGUAUUUCCAAAGCACUCAAGCUGCUGUUCCCUAAUUGAGGCACUGUGCACAGUUCAUCUUGUUUGGACUUAGAAACCUCAGUCUAGAAGAAACUAGCCCAAGGGAUACAGACGGGACGGAACAAUGGCCGGCAGCUCUCCCGGACUCCUGGCCACUCCCCAAAUGAGUCUAGAAGAUAAGCAACCAGAGUGAGGAACACAAUGACCCCCUUGACGGGCACGUGGUAAAUUCACAGCUCGUGUAGCUCUCGCUGAAGAGGACCUGCUCAUCAUUCAGCAAACACAGACAUGAAGUUCAGCAUCGGGCUCCCUGGUGUGUCUGACGGAUGGGACUUCCAAAGGCUGUAAAGGUCCUUGCUCAAGUCUCAGCAGUUGCCUGGAUGUAGCAGUUACACCAAGUACUUGAGUACCAGUAAAAUGGCAGUUACUCCACACUGUUCACUUGGAGAAUAACUGCCACUUCAUGCUUAUUGCUUAUUUAUUUCCUUCCUUCCUUCCUUCCUUCCUUCCUUCCUUCCUCUUUCUCUCUUUGACAGGGUCUCUCUCUGUUGCAGAAGCUGGAGUGCAGUGGCCCAAUCUCAGCUCACUGUGGCCUCGGCCUUCUGGGCUCAAGAAAUCCUCCCACCUCAGCCUCCCAAAGUGCUGGGAUUACAGGCAUGAGCUACCACAGCCUGCCUUGUUGGGUUUCUAGACAAGGUCCCUGAGACCCAGAAAGGUAAAGUGAUAUACAAAGUUCAAUAAUUACAUGUGGUGAAGCCAGCGUAGCAUCCACACCUCCUCCCUCCCCAUUUAAUGUCUUUUCACCAGAGAGCAUGUGUUAAUGAGGCUGUGGUUGUAGACUCUUAUAGGAACUGAAGACCUGUAAGACCCAUAUCCCAGUUAGCCAUCUUACAAACAGAAGCAUUCACUGAAUAUAUGUCCAGGCGAGAGAAUAGGUGGCUGUAAGAAAACUGACCCCAUUCUUUGAAACAAACACACGCAAGCUUCUUUCUCUAUCUAUCUACCUAUCUUCUAUUUCUCUAUUAUCUAUCUAUCUAUCUUUCUUUCUUUCUUCAUCACUAUAAUGCUCAAGAAUAUAUUUGCAGCAAAACCCAAUGCUAUUCUGAUCAAGAGCAAAGCCAUCAAUAGCUCUUGGUUGGAACUUGGGAAAAAACUGGGCAUAGAGAGCCUGGUGAAUACUUAUCCAGGUGAUACCAACUGUUGUAGGUCUCUUGAGUGUGGACCAUGUAUCUGAAGAAACAAUUGUUUAAAUGUUACUCAAAGGACCAAAAGGAUGGAUGUCCAAAGGGUGAGCAUUUGAUUUCUCCUCAUGUGUGGAACUUGCCUUUUAGUGACCUGGCUGAUGAGUGGCCAACGCUCUUCCUGUGCCAUUGUGUCCCACACAGCCAGAAUUUAAUCAUGCAGGAGCUGCUGGAAAGAUGCUCUAUGCAGAGAGAAAUUAAUGGAAUGAACUCAGGACAAAACCCUUGUCUCGGGUCUGCGUCAUUCUAAUAGCAGAACAAACUUCAUGCUGUCAGCAGCAAAAGAGAUGACUGGAAAUCACCUUUAGCUUUUCCAUCCAUUAUGACAGCAUGGGCAGAACGAGGAAGGAGGACAGCAAACAGGAUGAGAAACCACAGAUGAGGUGGCAGGCAGGAGGCAUGCGCUGUAUCCAUCCAAGGACAAAGAGAGGUGGCAGGAGCUAAGGCUGUGACCAGGAGAGAAAUGUGAGCCGACUUAAAGGGAAAGACAGAAGGGAGCCCUGUGCAGACUGGCUGUUUGUUACAGCUUAAGCAAAAGUGCCAAAGAAACUCUGUGAAUCAGGACUUGCACACAAGGAUGGGGGUCAGACCCAAGCUGAUGUCUACCUGGCUGAGAACGAGUCCCAUUCACUGUAUGAGGCUCAUGGAGUCUUUGCCAAGGGGCUAGUCCCAGGUUCUGGGUAUGUGGAGGGUCAGCAUUCAUGGGGAGACAUUCCUCCGCCUCUUCUGUUCUUUCCCCUAAACCUGUUAACUCCUGACACACAUCUUAUGAAUUUCUAAACCAUAUCGUCUAGUAGAAGAUCACAGAAGUUGAGUCAGUGACUCACUGGGCCAAGUUCUAUUCGUAGACAGGGAGACUGGGGAGAGUGGACUCAUUGCCGCAGUUCCACAAAGCUCUUCCGGUUAGGGGAUGCAUUGCCCAGAGUUCCACAAAGCUCUUCCGUGUAGGGGAUGCACUGCCAGGAGUGCCACAAGGCUCUUCCGGUGAGGGGAUGCAUUGCCGAGUUCCAGAAAGCUCUUCCUUGUAGGGGAAGCAUCGCCCGGAGUUCCACAAAGCUCUUCCGGUGAGGGGAUGCAUCGCCCGGAGUUCCACAAAGCUCUUCCGGUGAGGAGAUGCAUCGCCCGGAGUUCCACAAAGCUCUUCCGGUGAGGGGAUGCAUCGCCCGGAGCUCCACAAAGCUCUUCCGGUGAGGAGAUGCAUCGCCCGGAGUUCCACAAAGCUCUUCCGGUGAGGAGAUGCAUCGCCCGGAGUUCCACAAAGCUCUUCCGGUGAGGAGAUGCAUCGCCUGGAGUUCCACAAAGCUCUUCCGUGUAGGGGAUGCACUGCCGAGUUCCACAAAGCUCUUCCGUAUAGGGGAAGCAUCGCCUGGAGUUCAACAAAGCUCUUCCAUGUAGGGGAUGCAUCGCCCAGAGUUCCACAAAGCUCUUCCAUGCUGUUGGCUCUUUUGUCUCCUAAACCCUCUUCUCUCCCUGGAGAUUGUGGAAGUGCUCUUGACUAAUUCUCUGAGCUCUGUGUGGGUUGAGAGCUUAAUUCUGUUGCCCAACCUGGAAAGGGCAGAUGGGGGAGUCGGGACACCCGUGUCUUAUGCCUGACUCUGUUAUGACUUAGCUGUGUGACAGGGGACAUUUUUGUUGGUCACAACUUGGAGGGUGCUACUGGCAUCCAGAGGAUAGAAGCUUGAGAUCCCAGGAAAUGCCCUACAGUGCACCAGGCAUCCCCCUACGACACAAACAUCUGGUCCAUGACAUCACUCGUGCCCCUGUGGAAAAACUCUGCCCUAGAUUUGUUUUCUCACCUGUAAACUGAGAGGUUUGGAUUAGAUCAUUUUAAAAAUCAUUUUCAAAGACAAACUUUGAAAAGUCGAUGGUGAAGCAUAAAAUUUUACCUUAAAUUUAGAUAUGAAUCAUAACAUAAAUGAUGCUGAGAAGCAAAAAUGAAUCUCCCAAAGUAUAUAAGUGAAAUGACAGUAGCUCUUAUCAGUAAUAAGGGACUGUGCCUUGUGGCUAAGGUAGCCCCUUAAGCUAUAAAGAUGUGAGAAAUGGCAUUUUAUCAACAAGGUAUCCAACAAGGCAUUCAUUUAGAGAGAAGGAAAAAAAUCCCAAUUUCCAAAUCCCAGGCUUCCACUUAGGAGAGGCUGGAGGGAAGUGAUACACACAAACCCCUCCUGUCUAAACAAUGUGCCAGACAGAAAAAGGCCAGAGGUGAUUCGUGUGGAAAUGGGUUUUUACAGGAGCUGCAAUAAAGAACCCCCUUUCCCAAGCCCUACUGAAAUGAAAUGCUAGCUAUAUAAUCAAUGUCAUGAAGCAGAAAAGGCCUGGGGAACACCAGGGAAACCUAUCUACUGGCCAGGCACACGGAGUGCAGGUCCAGAGCUGGUGAGCAGGCUCUCUCACCAGGACGUGUGACAAUCAUCUCCUGCUGUGUAGCUUGGGGCCCCCUCCCACUGGGCUGUCACGCUGACAGAGGCUGACCUCACAGGUCUUCUUGGAGGGUCUCAGCAUUGGUAUUCAUCCCUGAAAAAUUCACUACACCUCCACAAACACAACUGAUAGCAAAUAUGAUUACAGGGAGUUCUGGGGGAGCUGAGGAGACAGGAGACGUGUUAUGAAAGGGAAAAUAAAACUCCCAAACCACCAACAAUGACACUUCACGUAUAGAUGGCUGCCCAGUGGAAUGGGAACGCUGCGUCCCGGUAACUCUGGAGUCUAUGUUCAAGGAAGAUCUAGAUAAUUUAGAAAUAUCAGUCUGGGCUCAUGAGGAUCACCUGCGCUUGUGAUCCUCUGAGGCUUAAUUGUUAUAUUUCAUUCUUACAGUUUUCAGAUUGGGAGAAAAUGGGGCACUCAAGAGCCAUUUGGACUUUUCAAAGGUCAGGGUCUGAAGAGCCUGAUGCUUAGACACUGAUAGGGACCCUGACUCUAAAAACCUUUGCAGGAGUGGAGGUGCAGGCAUGGUGGGUGGGAGGUGUGAUCUCUGGCUUAGACACCAGCAUGAAACACCCCCGGGAAGCAUCAGGAAAUGUCUUAAGUAAAUGCCAGGAAGGGGAGGAGGCAAAUGAGAGAGUUCAGGCCACAGUUGCCUCAUUUUCAUAGUUCAAGAAGUCAUUCAUGAAGAAUGUCACACACACACACAAAACAGAUAGAAAAGGUAGCCUCUGCCAAGGUCUCCUUUCCUCGUAUGGACAUUUAUGAUAUUAUGAUAUUGACAGCACUAAUAAUAUUGUGGAUUUUAAAUCUUCAUUUCCCCAACAUUCUCACCCACAUGGUAAUUUGGGUGAUUUAGACAAGCCACUCUCUGAGGGGAAAGUUGGAGAAUGCAGAAGUUAGUGCAGUCAGCAACUCCAGCAACCUGACAUAUCUAAGAGUUGGAAUAUCGAAGGAAAAUCUAAAAACAGGUCAGUGAGUGAAAUCUGACCUCUACCUAGCCAUGAAUAGAUGAUUGUUUUUAUUUUUCUACAUUUUUUUUUUGAGAUGGAGUCCCACACUGUUGCCCAGG
rnacentral:lncRNA from 10 species